rnacentral:lncRNA from 1 species
GAAAAGAGCAAGAUAACAAUCCAAUUGAAUGUUUUCUAGCGGAAGGACAGUCCACUAACUGACCUUCCUUGUUCAAUGGUUCAAAUUACACAUAUCGAAAAACACGUAUGCUCAUAUUCAUUCAAGCACUUGAUUAUGACCUAUGAAGUGUUAUAAUCAAUGGACCACAUUUACCUACUAUCACUAUUGAUGACAAUUGUGUCUCAAAAUUCGAAAAGGAUUG